UCAAACCGCCAAAACUCUAGCUCGCUAUGUCCUUGCCUCUAUGAACGGCCUCCUCGUGCGUCGAAUCUGAUCAAAACUAUAGUGAAUACAUCACAAUAGGCUAAGGGAAUAAAACCCAAGUGAAAACAAUCAAAAAAUAUCAAAAAUUUCGAAAUUACCAAAACUCGAGCGUCGAUCCCACUUCUCGAAUCUCAAAAAAAUUCACAUUAACGGGUUCCUUAUUUCGGCGCGAGUCUAUACAUAUCAAGAGCACCAAAUCGGAGUCCAAAUGACCCCUCAAAUCCCAAUUUUAGAAUCUAAAAAUUCAAGCCCUAGUUCUUCCCUUUUUGGCUAAAUCUUCAUGAAUCUCCCAAUUAAUUUCACAAUAUAAAUGAGUUUUAAGUUCAUAAAUCUUUCCUCCAUCGAUUUCCCUUGAAUCCCUCUUUAAUUUCUUUCAAAAGCUCUCAAAAUUACCAACUAUGGAGUGAAAAUGAGCACACACCCGCGCAAGAGAUGUUUAUAACUCUUCUGUCCAGCACUUAAAAAUCCUUCUUCGCGAAUGCGGUCAAAGCCUCGCGUUUGCGAAGCACAACAAUUCCAUAGACCAUAAUUCACAAACGCGUAGCUUUACCCCAGGCAACCCUACGCGAACGUGACCCCACUCAUACGAACACGAAGAACAAAUUUCACUUCUAAUCCACCUGACCCAAUUCCUCUUAUGCGAACGCGAAUACACCCAUGCAGACGCGAUGUCUUCCCUUUUACAAUCUAUGCUAAUGCGGCCCUAUGGCCGCAAACGCGAAGAGAAAAAGCUGGCCAGCCCAAACUCCUCUUCGCGAACGCGAACAUCCUUGUGCGAACGCGCAACACCAGCUCCCAGAACUAUGCGAACGCGGGCCCCUGGCUGCGAACGCGAAGAACAAACUUAGGCCACCCAAAUUCCUGCUAUGCGAAUGCAAGUUCCUUCUCGUGAUCAUGAAGGCAAAAUAUGAACCUGCACUGCUGCUACAUUUUCUACUAUCUUUUCAAAUUCUAAGCUUCCCGUUAGCCAUCCGAAAUCACCACGAGGUCGGGACCUCAACCAAACAUACCUGCAUAAUCCAUAACGCCAUUCAAACUUAUUUCAAUCAUCAAAAUACCUCCAACAAUAUCAAAUUACUCAAAACUCAUCGAAUCCAAGCCUAAGUUUCCAAAUACAUCUGAAAUACACUUUCAAUCAAAAACUCGACAAAACAACGUACGAAUGAUCUGAAAUUUUGCGCACACAUCCCAAAUGACAUAAUGGAGCUAUUGCAACUCUCAAAAUUCCAUUCCAACUCUCAGAUCAAAAUCUCACCUACCAAUCGGAAUUCGCCAAAAUACUAACUCAUCAAUUCAAGCGAAAUUUCACACCGGAUCUCCAAAAACAAUUCCGAUCACACUCCUAAGUCAAAAAUCAUCUUAAGAAGCUAACCAAAUCAUAAAAAUUCUGAUCCGGGCUCAUAUACAAAUAAGUCAACUUUUGGUCAAACCUUUCAAAUUCCAAGCUUUCAACUAAAACUGUUCUUCUAAAUUCAUUCUGACUUUUCCUGAAAUCAACACCAACGAUCUAUAUCAAUCAUAAUACAUCAUAUGAAGCAAGUCAUGCCCAAAAACUGAAAAUCAAAAUGCAAAAGCUCAAAACGAUCAGUCGGGUCGUUACAUAAAUGCUAUCUCACAAUUAUCAGUUCUUACUACUUCUGCUACCAUCUCAGUGAACAAUCCCCAAAGAGCCAAAUCAACCACAACUAGCAUAUUCAUAUUUAUAUUAAAAAGAAAAAAAUUAACAAUUAUAUAAAUGAUAAACAAACUAUUUAUAGGUUUUUCUCGUUUCAUUUGACGUCCUUUUGACUCUUGUCGCCAAUAGUCAGAACAAGAGCAUGAACUUAGCUUAAAACAGUGAAAGCGACUACGAUCUCUUAUUACAAUUUCUCUAUAAUACACUUUGGAAACAAACUUCAUGGCUGGCAAUCUCGGCAUAUCCUUAAAUUCUUGAAAACAUAAAGAGGCAUGCUAGCCGGUAUGCUUAUGAGCCCAAAACAAAUAGCCAACUUCUCGCAGAUAACUGAAAGCUAUGAAUUAAGCAAAACUCUUUGGCUUUGCUACCUGCUAACUUGUAGCCAUUCAAUUUUUAUACACAUUACACACAACCAUAUCAUAUAGAAUUUCAUACUAAAUUCGAAUUACAACAUAGUAGAAUAGUUGAUAAUAAAAAUUAAACAACGAAAAUAGCAUAGAAUUUCAUAUGCUCAAUACUAUAUCGUAUAGAUUCCAUUGACAGAAAGUGAAAAUUACAUAGUUGAGCGAGUGAGUAAUACCUUGAAACAAAGAAAGGGCAGAAGGAAACAAUAGCAGCUGAUAUAGAGCUAAAUUCCAGCAACAGAAAGCAGUGCUUUAGGCUUGAACGAAACUCAAUAGACACCCAGCGAAAAGUAUUCAAGAUUUAAAGCUUCCAGCAAUCCAUUAGCACUCAAAUCUUUACUAAAUCUCUAUUUUUUCUCUGUUAUUUCAAAACCCCUUUUCUCCAGAUCUGAUUUUCUGAAAUUCAAAAAUUGGUUCUCAGCUGUUUCGUGUGUGUGUAUGUGGUGUAGACGAGGGAGCGAGGAAGAAGAAAGGGUCACGGUGCUGUUGAAGGAGAGUCUGAUUUUUGGUCUGUUUUAGUUGCUUCUCCUUCAAAAAUCAGCUGCGCCGUCUUGGGUGUUUCUAAAAGGGAGUUUUCUAUAUCAGAGAAGGGAGGUAAUCUGAUGGUUUAAUAGGUCUAUGUCUAG
rnacentral:lncRNA from 1 species